rnacentral:rRNA from 1 species
GGCGAACGCUGGCGGCGUGCUUAACACAUGCAAGUCGAACGGAAAGGCCCUGCUUGCAGGGUACUCGAAUGGCUAACGGGUGAGUAACUCGUGGGUGAUCUGCCCUGCACUUCGGGAUAAGCCUGGGAUACUGGGUCUAAUUCCGACCACGUGCCAUUUUUAGUGUGAUGGUUGGAAAGUUUUUUCGGUGUAGGAUGAGCUCGCGGCCUAUCAGCUUGUUGGUGGGGUAAUGGCCUACCAAGGCGGCGACGGGUAGCCGGCCUGAGAGGGUGGACGGCCACAUUGGGACUGAGAUACGGCCCAGACUCCUACGGGAGGCAGCAGUGGGGAAUAUUGCACAAUGGGGGCAAGCCUGAUGCAGCGACGCCGCGUGGGGGAUGACGGGCUUCGGGUUGUGAACUCCUUUCGCUAGGGACGAAGCUUUUUGUGACGGUACCUAGAUAAGAAGCACCGGCUAACUACGUG